rnacentral:rRNA from 1 species
CCUACGGGUGGCAGCAGUGAGGAAUAUUGGUCAAUGGGCGCGAGCCUGAUCCAGCCAAGUAGCGUGAAGGAUGACUGCCCUACGGGUUGUAAACUUCUUUUGUAAAGGAAUAAGGUGAGGCACGUGUGCCUUUUUGUAUGUACUUUAUGAGUAAGGAUCGGCUAACUCCGUGCCAGCAGCCGCGGUAAUGCGGUGGGUCCGAGCGUUGUCCGGAUUGAUUGGGUUUAAAGGGAGCGGAGACGGGCUGUUAAGUCAGUUGUGAAAGUUUGCGGCUCAACCGUAAAAGUGCAAUUGAUACUGGCAGUCUUGAGUACAGUAGAGGGAGGCGGAAUUCGUGGUGUAGCGGUGAAAUGCUUAGAUAUCAGGAAGAAUUCUGAUGGCGAAGGCAGCUUACUAAACUGACACUGACAUUGAGGUUCGAAAGUGUGGGUAGCAAACAGGAUUAGAUACCCGGGUAGUC